rnacentral:sRNA from 1 species
UAGCUGAUUUGUUAUUGAUAUUUGUAUAAUAUUUUGCCCUCAAGACUUUAUAUUACUACUUGCACAUGCUCAAGAAAUUUGUUAACACGACCUUCUUGAUCGUCCUAGUAGACCCAUCUAAUAUGACCGAUGAUUCCAAAUAACCCUAGUAGGCAUAAAACAUGACAUGAUGGUGGAUGUUGGUAGCUAGAUAUCAGAACCAUCAAGAUUGAAUUUUGGUUACAUAGAAUGAUAUUACAUUGAAUUCCUCAGUAUCUAGCAUCCAUCAUUAUCGGGUCAUAAUUUUGUUCCACUAGAUUAACUUGGAUGGAUAGUAUCCUAUGUAUCAUCCCAUGGAGAGGUUUCCUGAUAUACAUUCAUAUAUCCACUUGGAAGUUUUGAGACUAGUGACUCUGAUUGGAAGGGGCAGUGACACGACCCGUCCCGAAUUACUCUAGUGGACUCGAAAUGUGACGUGCACCAAUGAUAGAUGCUGACUAGAUAUCAAAUCUAUCACCAAUGCUGACUAUGAGUUAUUUCAAAAAAAUGCAACAAAAUCAAAUGCUUAUGUAAAAUAUAAUGCGAUGAGCCCAAAAUAUUUACUUCGUGUUUCAUCAAUAUGAAUUAUAACACUCAACAUGUCGUGUGGCUCUCAUUCCAAAAUCAUUAGGCUCUUUCAGCUAAAAAAAAUCAAUUUCCACUUGUAGGAAAAUUACGGAAAAAUAUAUGAGUUGAUAGUUCAGUGAGUAGAGAAGAUCGAAAAUAAUUAUUCUUUUUCAUUUUUUUCAUUUUAUCGAAAAUCGAGUUCAUAUCAUUGAUAACUCGCAAGAUAACAUCAUAUAAUUAUAGCAAAAAAAUGAAAUAUACCCUCCGAAAAAUGUACCCUCCGACUGAAAUAUAUAAUCUGCUCCUCGGGCUAAGAACUUUCGCCACAGGCCUUUGGCCCCUCUGUGAAUGAAAGUCGAUCUCAAAGACCUCUCAGUAAACUAUAUGUACACGGUCGAGAUCCCUUCAUUCCCGGUCCAAGACCCCUCAAUGUAGUAUAGAACACGACUAAGGCCCAUCAGUGAACUAGAAGAAAUAUAUAAUCACAGGCACUUUUCUAGUCGAUCUCAAAAUCAUAUCUUAUAUUCCAAUUCACUACGUAACGUAUACAAUCUUUAAAAUUCCACAUGUAUCAUAAUAAAAGAUAUUUUCAUAAUAACCAUGUAAUUGGAAUACAUAAUUGCAUAUAAUUGCACAUAAUUUAACAAUAAACUUAAUUUAUAAAUACUUUAAAAAUAUUUAUAUUUUUCCACUCACAGUACAAUGUUCGCAAAAUCAACCCGAUUGACAAGCUAUUCUGAUGUCAGUAUCGUAGCCUGAAAUACGAUAUAAUUUUUAAAUAAACAAUUAAUUAUUUUAAAUAAUUUCAAUAAUUAAAUAGGCAAUACCCAAACUUAAUUAUUUCACGUUUAGGUGAUUUCUAAAGUCUCUUUAAUCACUAAAACUAGUUUUCUUUUAUUUUACUCAAUUUCAUAGUUUAUUAUGCUUAACCCCUUCAAUAAAAUUGAAUUUAAUCUCACAAUCUAACAACUAUAUAAUUAAACAUAACUUGACAAUAAGUAACUUUUUACUUACCUUUCAAAAUUGAGGAAUUCAAGUCUAAUAAUAUAGACCACUUAUUUUCUAACAACAUAGGUGAACUUUCCUAUUUUUUUCUUCCUCUUCUCCUUUUUUUUUUUUUUUUUUUUUGCUUUUUCCUUUCUUUUCCCUCUCUUUUUCUCUCUCUCGUUUCUUCUCUGUUUGUAUAAUUGUUGUGUGUAAAUGGAUUGUAUAUAAAUGGAUUGAUACGAAAAUGAAAUGGAUUUGGAUUAUUAUAAUCAACUACCACCAGACUUUGUCCACUUUUGUUUUGGUUUCAUUUUUUUUUUUUUUAAGCUUGAUAUAUUUGACUUCAAUUUUAUAUUUUGACUUUUCUUUCUUUUCUUUUCUUUUUAAAUAAUUGAGGCAUUACAAUACUCAACCUCUUAAAAGAAUUUCGUCCUCGAAAUUAUAUUAGUUAAGAUUCGCACAUGUAAUAAAUAUAUAAAGAACACAUUUGAUCCUCACUUGCCAUAAUAAUGAUCACUCCAAUAAACUUUUAUUUAAUUUAAUCUUUCCUAUCAUACCUUUAAUAACUUCAUAAGAGCUAAUAUAUGAUAGUCUCGUCUUCUCUUUUCUCCCUUUUUUUUUUUCCAAACCUUAUGAAAAGUCAAUUAUUAUUAUUAUUAUUUUUUAAUUUGAAGUUCAAGAUACUACUUUUCAUGUUUUCCAAAUCUUCACCUUACGUCAUAAUUUAAACUAUUCUCUAAUCACAUUCUUUUUCUAUAACAAUGGUUACAUAUUAAGAUCGAACAACAUUCUUUCGCCCAUUUCGUCAUACAUCCUUGAAAUAUUUUAAUAUUAUAUAUAACCUCAAUUAUAGUUACUUGUGUCUAGCUCUUAUAUAUCAAUUCAAUGAAAAAUAGAUAAUUAUCCAAGUACCUUUAAUUAACCAACCAUAAUUGAUAACCUUUCUUUUGAACUUGUCUUCACAGCGUCUGACAUUGUAUCAAAAGAAGAUGCACAAUGUGAUUUAAUUAUAUAACUUCUUACAGUUAACCAAGAUAAAUACUCCAAUUACACCAUGUAGUUGAAAAUAUUGUCUAAAUAUAAUUUUAUAAGUCUAUCCUAUGAACUAACUAUAUUUUUUAAAAGAAUCUUGUAAGCUUUAUCAAUCAAUGAUUUACAUACUAUUUUGUCUCCAUUCCAUGUAUUUGGAAUCCCCAAACAAAAAAAAAAUAUAUAUUUGAGGGUAACUACCUCCAUUCUAAAUUGACAAUAUUUUCAAAGAUUCAAUUGUUCAUGAUUUUUUAAAAUUCUAAUUAUCCCCAGCAAAACAAUUGAGAUAGCUCAAUAUGGUGUUCUUUUUCCUUUAAUUCUAUAUCACCCAAUGAUAAUAUAUACCCAAUUUCCAUUUCCACCACUUCGAAUAAAAUAUACCUUAAACUCUGAUGAUUGAUAAUUAUUGAUAUUUCUCGCAAUGUGAUAAUAAAAUCCCAAUAUAAACAACUCCAAAUCAUGUUUUAAUCAUGCCUCUUCAACAAUCUAUCAUAUAAUUUAUAAUUCAUCAUUUUACUUCAGAAUACUUUUUAAACUUUAACAUAAUCCACUAUCAUAAAUCAAAUCCUCAUCAAGUUUUGAUACGAGAGUAAUUAUUUCCUCAGAAUUUAAUCUGAUAGCAACACUUUUUACAUCUUUAAAUCCACAAAAUUUUGAUGCUCUUUCUUUCUAUGAAAAGACAAUUAUAACAAUUAAUCCAUGAUAAUUCUAUUCUCUUAUUUCAUAAAGAGGUCAUCAGCCAAUUACCAAUGCGUAAGCUUUCUUGUAUGUCUAACAAAGACCUUCAAUUAAGAUUAUACCCUAAAGAUACCAUUCCACAAUUGAAUAAAAUUUAAAUUUGAUGAUUGUCUUAGACAUUAAACUAUCCACAUAUCAUCCAUAUAUUCUAUAACGUAUAGAUCUCGACAAGAAUGGAAUACUUUAUCCGCGAAAUCCAAAAAUACAAUUGAAAAUCACCCAAAAUUUACAUCAUGAAAAAUUUCAAUAAAUUCAUCUUAACUUCAAAAUUUAACUCAACGCUUCCAAAUUGUAUGGAAUAUUACACAAUAAUCCAACAAGUGGCUUUAACAAAACUAAUUAACUUAUAACCCAAAUCUAUCAUCACAUUAUUUUGCCAUAGGACAACCGCUAUAUUCAUUUACAUGUAAUUCAACAUAUCAUUUUAUGAUCUUGUAACCUUAGCAUUUAUCGUCAUAUCGUAUGACUCAAAACAUUUAAUUAUAUUAAUUUUUCCUUAAUACCACAAGAUAAUAACUUUCAUAUUUAUCACAUGAACAUUUCACACAUCAAUAUACCGCAUGUUAAUUUCCCAAUCUCAACAAAUUUCGAUUCUACCAUUCUAAAAAAAAAAAAAAAAAUCCCUCACAUAAACAUACCUAAAUGCACAUAUCCAUUUAAUUCUAUUUUUAAAGCAACAAAUCACCUCAUAAUAGGUAAUCAUUAUGAAGUUCAUCUCUAUUAUUCUUACAUUCCUUAUAGUCAAACAACUCAUAAAUAAUCGAAAUAAUUUGAAUUAUCGUUAAUUUCCUCGAUGCCUAAAAUACACAAUAACACAUUGUUAUCUAUUAAUCAACAAAUCAUCAUUUGUCUUUCACACUUUCUUAUCAUAUAGCAUAAAUAUACACCAUCAUAGUUUCUAUUAUCAUCCCAUAUAAGUGGCCACAAAUCACCACAAAAAUUUUGAUAACGCCACUAAUCAUUUAGUUUCCCAAAAUAAUUAAAAUUUCUCACCUGAUUAUCACCAUUUACACAUAUAAUAUUGUUUUCACUGUUACUAUAGUACAAGCUAGAACUAGGGAUUUCCCAAGUGUAUAUUAAAAACCACGAAAUUCUACACAAAGAUUGGUACUUAAAUGGUUGUACCCUAUCACUUCGAAUGUCUAUAAGUAAAUAACCAGCAAUACCAUCAAAACUUUCACCUUCAAAUUAACAAUAUGUCCAACUCUUAAAAAGCUACAUACACCAUCAUUCCAACCCAACAACUAAUAACACUUUCAACCAUCAGAUUAUGUAACUGGUGUACUUACAUACUACUCAUUUUCGAAUCCGUUAAAAGUAUUCUUCCACCAUUUUAGGUUCCAAACAUUACAGUAGCAAAAGUUUGAGAACCUGUGAUAUAUGCCACCAUGACAUGUGAUUGUAUCCACUGAACAUGCAUGAACUAUAAAUAUUUUCAAAACCAUGCUCUGAUACCAUUUUGACACGACCCGUCCCGAAUCACCCUAGUGGACUCGAAACAUGACGUGCGCCGAGGAUAGAUACUGACUAGAUGUCAAAUCUAUCACAAAUGCUGACUAUGAGUUAUUUCAAAAAAUGCAAAAUCAAAUGCUUAUGUAAAAUAUAAUGCUAUGGACCCAAAAUAUUUACUUCGUGCUUCAUCAAUAUAAAUUAUAACACUCAACAUGUCGUAUGGCUCUCAUUCUAAAAUCAUUAGGCUCUUCCAGCUAAAAAGAAUCAAUUUCCACCUGUAGAGAAAUUACAGGAAAAUAUAUGAGAUGAUAGCUCAGUGAGUAGAUAAAUUCUAAAAUAAUUAUACUUUUUCAUUUUUUUCAUUUUUAUCGAAAAUCGAGUUCAUAUCAUUGAUAACUCGCAAGAUAACAUCAUAUAAUUAUAGCCAAAAGUGAAAUUUUCACAUAAGGUCAUAAAAUAUCAUCUUAAAAUCAUGAUAUAGACAUCAAUUGAUAACCAUGCUAUAAUCUCAUCACAUCAAACGUACUGAAAAAUUCACCAAAAAUGUACCCUCUGGCUGAAAUAUAUAAUCUACUCCUCGGGCUAAGAACUUUCUCCACGGGCCUUUGACCCCUCCGUGAAUGAAUGUCGGUCUCAAAGACCUCUCAUAAUCAAGUCUAGAGUAUAGCCAAGGCCCCUCAAUGAACUAUAUGUACACGGUUGAGACCUCUUCAUCCCCAAUCCAAGACACCUCAGUCUAGUAUAGAACACGGUCAAGGCCCCUCAGUGACUAGAAGAAAUGUAUAAUCACGAGUACUUUUCUAGUCGAUCUCAAAAUCAUAUCUCAUAUUCCAAUUCACAAUGUAACGUAUACAUU